AUGUGCUGUUCAUGAAAGUUACUGGAUUGACAGCUCUUAAGGCUAAAGUCCUUAUAAGAAGAGAAUGGUUUGGUACAUCUUGAGCAAGUUUCCAAACACCGCCUCUCCAAUCUGCAUCAGCCUAACAGGUGGCCAACUGUCCACUAGGAAAUGGAUUCAGAUGAUGAACUCUUUUUACAUAGGCCACUGAACUGCCACCAGCUGGAAAUCUUCAGUUACAAUUGACCUGAGCUGAAUUAGAACCAGUCAUCAAGAGGUGAAAGUUGGUGUUACCAAUCCCCUGAAUCAUUUGUCUUUUAUUCAUUAUUUCUUUAGCAUCAGCAAUAUGCUUAGCAAGGCACAAUAAACAGAAAUAGAAAGCAUCUUCAUAGGGAUAAUGUAAAGAUUAAAUUCCCUGUGCUCUCAGUUGCAGUGAAUAGCUCACAUUUUUAUUCACUUUGAAAUGAAAGAGCUGCAUAAUAUGACUCUCUACUUGAAAGGAUGCAGAAUCAAUGCACUCCCAUCUGGAUUAUUACGUUCAAUUUAGGCCAUAUGAACUCCUGUGCUGAAGGUGUACGUCUAAGAACAUGGUGGUGAAUUGAGCGUGACUUGCAUGAAAGAGCAAGUUGCACCUAUUCUCUCUAAAAGCAUUUGCUUUUAGUUAAAAUCACAAUUGGUUUACUAGACAGCAUAUGAGGCCCCAAUCUCUCCUCUGUAUCACCCAGCAUUCAAAUGCUUAAUAUAGUUGCAAUUUUAUUAUGGAGCUGUGCUCGAGACUCCAUUGCUGAGGUUGCAGCCAGGUUAUUUUAUACGCCCUGCUUUUAGUCUGCUCCACCGUAGCUUCCGCUAAGAAGAUUGUCCCGAAAAUGGCAAGAUUUACUCUGAAGCUUAUUUCCAAAUGUUUAAAUUCUUAGACAUUUUUAAUUGUAGUGUUCCUUGAUCCACAUCACUUUCAGCUUUUAAUGUUAACUAUCAGAUUUCUACUUAAAGGUAGAGACUUUUUCCUCUUUUAAUAAUAUGAAAAGCUCUAGGCAGCUGGUGUGCUUGAUCCUGAUUUUUACUCUAAUUAUAAUUGUCUUAUUGUUAUUUCUCUGUUGUAUCCUUCUGUUGUCUCUCAUAUUACUCUGAUUGUAAACCUAUUGGAGUAGGGAUCAUCUUUUUGUUGUAUGUGAGACUUCGGGCAGAUCUACACUACUGGGCUAAAUUGACCUAAGUUACGCAACUCCAGCUACACGGUGUAUCUUAAGUUGACUUAUUGCAGUGUCUACAUCGCGCUAGGCUGAUGGGAGAACCUCUCCUGUUGACUUAUCUUAUGCUUCUCAUUCUGGUGGAGUCAAUGGAGUCAACGGGAGAGUGAUCAGCAGUCGAUUUAGGAGGUCUUCACUAGAUCCGCUAAAUCGACCCCUGGUGGAUCGAUCACUGCAGCGUUGAUCCAUGGAGUUAAAGUCCAUUUAUGGACCAGGAAUAGCCAAUAAUUGUCCAAACCUGUCCACUGAGCACAGUAUGAUACUAGAAAGAUGGGAAGAACAUUUUGCCACUCUUCUCAAUUGUGAGUUGAGCGCAAGUGAUCAAAUAGUAGACUCAAUCGAGCAAAGUCCAGUUUGAUUUGAAGAUCCACUUGAAGAUCCACCAACUUUGGAGGAUGCUAUGAAUGCAUUUAUGGAAAUGGCAUAUGGGAAGGCAGCUGGAGCCAACGAAAUCCCAGCUGAGGUGCUGAAACACAACGGUCCAAUACUUCACAAAGCUUUGCUAGACCUAUUUACUUUCUGCUGGGAAAACAAGAUUUUACCCCAGGAUUUGAAAGAUGCCAAAAUCAUGACUAUCUACAAGUGCAAAGGGGACAAACACGACUGCAGCAAUUAUCAAGGCAUUUCGCUCCUCUCCAUUGCUGGGAGAACCCUUGGUAAGCUGUUGUGGAAAAGGCUUCAGGUUAUCACAGAAGAUGUACUCCCUGAAUCCCAGUGUGGUUUUCGUUCAUCACAGACCACUGCCGACAUAUCUACCUUACGCUAGUUAUGGGAGAAAGCUGCUGAACAACAAAUGCCCCUGUACAUUGCCUUUGUUGACUCUGUCAGACGCUCUGCUCUCUGGUGCCUUCUUGCAAAGUUUGGCAGCCUAGACAAACUAAUUAACCCUAUACAUUGCUUCCAUGACAACAUGCAGACCCCUGUAUCACUGGGUGCUGACUCAUCUGAUCUCUUUUCUGUAGCUCAUGGGGUUAAACGGGGCUGUGCGCUUGCCCUACAUUAUUUACUCUGUUUUUGGCUAGAAAUCGCCGCAUGUAAUACCACUACAGGUGUCGCUCUAACAACGUGAUUUGAUGGCAGACCUCUAAACCUCCACUAAUUCAAGGCCAAAAGCAAAUCCUAGCAAAGUGAA